GUCGAGCGAGAACGCCUGCUUCGGCAGGUUAGUAAAGCGGCGAACGGGUGAGUAACACGUGAGUCACCUACCCUCCAGUAGGGGAUAACAUUUCGAAAGGGGUGCUAAUACCGUGUACGGUCCUGACCGUGUCUGCGGAUGGGACGAAAGGUGGCCUCUCUAUAGAAGCUGCCGCUGGGGGAUGGGCUCGCGCCCCAUUAGCUAGUUGGUAGGGUAAUGGCCUACCAAGGCAACUAUGGGUAGCUGGUCUGAGAGGACGAUCAGCCACACUGGAACUGAGACACGGUCCAGACUCCUACGGGAGGCAGCAGUGGGGAAUAUUGCACAAUGGGGGAAACCCUGAUGCAGCAACGCCGCGUGCGGGAUGAAGGCCUUCGGGUCGUAAACCGCUGUCAGGGGGGAAGAAAUCGCUCCGGUGAAUAGCCGGAGUGGAUGACGGUACCCCCAGAGGAAGCCCCGGCUAACUCCGUGCCAGCAGCCGCGGUAAGACGGAGGGGGCGAGCGUUGUUCGGAAUCAUUGGGCGUAAAGCGCGCGUAGGCGGUCGAGUAAGUCGGACGUGAAAGCCCAGGG
rnacentral:rRNA from 1 species